rnacentral:misc_RNA from 1 species
AAGUCGCAACAAGGUUUCCGUAGGUGAACCUGCGGAAGGAUCAUUAGUGAAGAUUGAGCGCUCGUAAGAGGCUCGCUACACUUAUUCACACACUGUGCACUUGGAGAACACUUGUCCUUAGACAUUUACUUGUCUUUCGACACUUUAAUACACUUGUAAUUUAAAAAGUUGAUGAUGUACAAAAUAUCAUAAAGUUUAAAUAA